rnacentral:rRNA from 1 species
UACAUGGGGUGCAAACGUUGCUCGGAAUCAUUGGGCGUAAAGCGCGCGUAGGCGGUUGCUUAAGUCAGACGUGAAAUCCCUCGGCUUAACCGGGGAACUGCAUCUGAUACUGGAUGGCUUGAGUUCGGGAGAGGGAUGUGGAAUUCCAGGUGUAGCGGUGAAAUGCGUAGAUAUCUGGAGGAACACCGGUGGCGAAGGCGGCAUCCUGGACCGACACUGACGCUGAGGAGCGAAAGCCAGGGGAGCAAACGGGG